AAGAAGAACAAGAAAUACAGAGACUGCUAACUAUCUGCCCAUGGUUAAAUUCCAUGAUCUCCUU
rnacentral:tRNA from 1 species